UACGUAGGGUGCAAGCGUUAAUCGGAAUUACUGGGCGUAAAGCGUGCGCAGGCGGUGAUGUAAGACAGGUGUGAAAUCCCCGGGCUUAACCUGGGAACUGCAUUUGUGACUGCAUCGCUGGAGUGCGGCAGAGGGGGAUGGAAUUCCGCGUGUAGCAGUGAAAUGCGUAGAUAUCAGGAGGAAUACCGAUGGCGAAGGCAGGUCUCUGGGCUGACACUGACGCUCAUGCACGAAAGCGUGGGGAGCAAACAGG
rnacentral:rRNA from 1 species